rnacentral:rRNA from 1 species
ACUCAAAUGAAUUGACGGGGGCCCGCACAAGCGGUGGAACAUGUGGUUCAAUUCGAUGCUACACGAAAAACCUCACCAGGGCUUGACAUGUAGGAAGUAGUGAACUGAAAGGGGAACGACCCGUUAAGUCGGGAGCUUACACAGGUGCUGCAUGGCUGUCGUCAGCUCGUGUCGUGAGAUGUUGGGUUAAGUCCCGCAACGAGCGCAACCAUUAUCCUUUGUUGCCAUUUUGUAGUCAGCUUGCUGAUUGCAGAAGCACUCUAAGGAGACUGCCUGGGAUAACCAGGAGGAAGGUGGAGAUGACGUCAAGUCAGUACGGCCUUUAUGCCCUGGGCUACACACGUGUUACAAUGGUUAUGACAAUGGGUUGCCAACCCGCGAGGGGGAGCUAAUCUCAAAAACGUAACCUCAGUUCAGAUUGAAGUCUGCAAUCCGACUUCAUGAAGCCGGAAUCGCUAGUAAUGGCAGAUCAGCAUGCUGCCGUGAAUACGUUCCCGGGCCUUGCACACACCGCCCGU